GGUGAGACAGAGAGCUUCUCCGGGCGGAUGGAUGUGCAGGAAGCGCUCCCUUUUCUUUACGCUGCGCCGUAUCGCUGUAUGCUAUAAAUCUACAGAAAAAAAAUAAAACACGGCGAUGACUAAAAGACCAAUUACUUAUACAGGGCUAUUGUCUUUAUUCGUGUUGAUUAUACGAUGAGGUUUAUUUCCAUGCACUGCUCGCAGACUGGAGGCGAGUGAUUGUCCGUGAGGAGGAGGAUCCACCGGACAUCCGAUAAGGAACUACGAGCUUCAUUCAACGGUGACGCACAUGGAACUUGAAGGCUGUUUUCCAGCAUGACUGCUGUCAGACAAAGGAAGGGCAGCAAAGGGAAGGACCCUGGCCCCAGCAUUCAGAACCUAAAGCCAGAAUGUAUAGCUGAAUCAAAAGAGAGGCUUAAAACAGGUGGUUUCUCAUGGUGGACAAUAUUGUGUCUAAUCAUUGGCUCAAUAGUGGGAGUUAGCCUGGGCUUACUGUGCUGCAUCUAUGUGGCUACGCUUCAUGACAAUGACCUGUGGUUCUCCAAUA